AGAGUUUGAUCAUGGCUCAGAAUCAACGCUGGCGGCGUGCCUCAGACAUGCAAGUCGAACGCGAAAGUUUCCUUCGGGAGACAAGUAGAGUGGCACACGGGUGAGUAACACGUAGGUAAUCUACCUUCGGGUGGGGAAUAACCCAGGGAAACUUGGGCUAACACCGCAUAAUGCAGCGGCACCACAUGGUGACAGUUGUUAAAGCGGGGGAUUUUCGGACCUCGCGCCUGAAGAGGAGCCUGCGGCAGAUUAGCUUGUUGGUAAGGUAACGGCUUACCAAGGCGACGAUCUGUAGCCGGCCUGAGAGGGCGGUCGGCCACACUGACACUGACAUACGGGUCAGACUCCUACGGGAGGCAGCAGUCGGGAAUUUUGGGCAAUGGGCGAAAGCCUGACCCAGCAACGCCGCGUGAAGGAUGAAAUCCCUCGGGAUGUAAACUUCGCAAGAAUGGGAAGAAUUAGUAGGGGACAAUACCCCCUAUGAUGACGGUACCAUUUGUAAGCUCCGGCUAACUCCGUGCCAGCAGCCGCGGUAAUACGGGGGGAGCAAGCGUUGUUCGGAUUUACUGGGCGUAAAGGGCGCGUAGGCGGCCAGCGCAAGUCGGUUGUGAAAUCUCCGGGCUUAACUCGGAAAGGUCAACCGAUACUGCGCGGCUAGAGUGCGGAAGGGGCAACUGGAAUUCUCGGUGUAGCGGUGAAAUGCGUAGAUAUCGAGAGGAACACCUGCGGCGAAGGCGGGUUGCUGGGCCGACACUGACGCUGAUGCGCGAAAGCCAGGGGAGCGAACGGGAUUAGAUACCCUAGUAGUCC
rnacentral:rRNA from 1 species